rnacentral:tRNA from 1 species
UCUAUUAUGGCAGACUAGUGCAAUGGAUUUAAACCCCAUAUAUAAAGUUCUCAAUACUUUUUUUAGAA